GGAAUUUUGGACAAUGGGCGAAAGCCUGAUCCAGCCAUGCCGCGUGCAGGAUGAAGGCCUUCGGGUUGUAAACUGCUUUUGUACGGAACGAAAAGGUCUUUUCUAAUAAAGAAGGCUCAUGACGGUACCGUAAGAAUAAGCACCGGCUAACUACGUGCCAGCAGCCGCGGUAAUACGUAGGGUGCAAGCGUUAAUCGGAAUUACUGGGCGUAAAGCGUGCGCAGGCGGUUAUAUAAGACAGUUGUGAAAUCCCCGGGCUCAACCUGGGAACUGCAUCUGUGACUGUAUAGCUAGAGUACGGUAGAGGGGGAUGGAAUUCCGCGUGUAGCAGUGAAAUGCGUAGAUAUGCGGAGGAACACCGAUGGCGAAGGCAAUCCCCUGGACCUGUACUGACGCUCAUGCACGAAAGCGUGGGGAGCAAACAGGAUUAGAUACCCUAG
rnacentral:rRNA from 1 species